CCUACGGGUCGCAGCAGUGAGGAAUAUUGGUCAAUGGACGAGAGUCUGAACCAGCCAAGUAGCGUGAAGGAUGACUGCCCUAUGGGUUGUAAACUUCUUUUAUAUGGGAAUAAAAUGUUCCACGUGUGGGAUUUUGUAUGUACCCUAUGAAUAAGGAUCGGCUAACUCCGUGCCAGCAGCCGCGGUAAUACGGAGGAUCCGAGCGUUAUCCGGAUUUAUUGGGUUUAAAGGGAGCUUAGGUGGAUUGUUAAGUCAGUUGUGAAAGUUUGCGGCUCAACCGUAAAAUUGCAGUUGAAACUGGCAGUCUUGAGUACAGUAGAGGUGGGCGGAAUUCGUGGUGUAGCGGUGAAAUGCUUAGAUAUCACGAAGAACUCCGAUUGCGAAGGCAGUUCACUGGACUGCAACUGACACUGAGGCUCGAAAGUGUGGGUAUCAAACAGGAUUAGAUACCCCAGUAGUC
rnacentral:rRNA from 1 species